rnacentral:rRNA from 1 species
AACGAACGCUGGCGGCAUGCCUAACACAUGCAAGUCGAACGAGACCUUCGGGCCUAGUGGCGCACGGGUGCGUAACGCGUGGGAACCUACCCGUAGGUUCCGUAUAACUCCCCGAAAGGGGUGCUAAUACCGGUUAAUGUCAUACGACCAAAGAUUUAUCGCCGUUGGAUGGGGCCGCGUUGGCUUAGCCAGUUGGUAGGGUAAAAGCCUACCAAGGGCACGAUCCAGAGCUGGUCGGUGAGGAUGACCAGCCACACUGGGACUGAGACACGGCCCAGACUGCGACGGGAGGCAGCAGUGGGGAAUAUUGGACGAUGGGCGAAGGCCUGGUCCAGCAGUGCGGCGGGAGUGAGGAAGGCGGUAGGGUUGUAAAGCUCUUUUACCCGAGAUGAGAGUGACAGUACCGGGAGAAGAAGCUCCGGCUAACUCCGUG